rnacentral:rRNA from 1 species
GGUUGAAGGUUGGGUAACACUAACUGGAGGACCGAACCGACUAAUGUUGAAAAAUUAGCGGAUGACCUGUGGCUGGGGGUGAAAGGCCAAUCAAACCGGGAGAUAGCUGGUUCUCCCCGAAAGCUAUUUAGGUAGCGCCUCGUGAAUUCAUCUCCGGGGGUAGAGCACUGUUUCGGCUAGGGGGCCAUCCCGGCUUACCAACCCGAUGCAAACUGCGAAUACCGGAGAAUGUUAUCACGGGAGACACACGGCGGGUGCUAACGUCCGUCGUGAAGAGGGAAACAACCCAGACCGCCAGCUAAGGUCCCAAAGUCAUGGUUAAGUGGGAAACGAUGUGGGAAGGCCCAGACAGCCAGGAUGUUGGCUUAGAAGCAGCCAUCAUUUAAAGAAAGCGUAAUAGCUCACUGGUCGAGUCGGCCUGCGCGGAAGAUGUAACGGGGCUAAACCAUGCACCGAAGCUGCGGCAGCGAACGUAUCACCCAAGACAACUUUACGGAGUUGACGAUUGACGGAGCGAAGCGACGUCAAAGCGUUCAUUAAAGUCGAGUUGGCUUAGGGAUACGUUCGUUGGGUAGGGGAGCGUUCUGUAAGCCUGUGAAGGUGUGUCGUGAGGCAUGCUGGAGGUAUCAGAAGUGCGAAUGCUGACAUAAGUAACGAUAAAGCGGGUGAAAAGCCCGCUCGCCGGAAGACCAAGGGUUCCUGUCCAACGUUAAUCGGGGCAGGGUGAGUCGACCCCUAAGGCGAGGCCGAAAGGCGUAGUCGAUGGGAAACGGGUUAAUAUUCCCGUACUUGGUGUUACUGCGAAGGGGGGACGGAGAAGGCUAUGUUGGCCGGGCGACGGUUGUCCCGGUUUAAGCGUGUAGGUGUGUGUUCCAGGUAAAUCCGGUUCACUUUAACACUGAGGCGUGACGACGAGGCACUACGGUGCUGAAGCAACAAAUGCCCUGCUUCCAGGAAAAGCCUCUAAGCAUCAGGUAACACGAAAUCGUACCCCAAACCGACACAGGUGGUCAGGUAGAGAAUACCAAGGCGCUUGAGAGAACUCGGGUGAAGGAACUAGGCAAAAUGGUGCCGUAACUUCGGGAGAAGGCACGCUGACACGUAGGUGAAGUGAUUUACUCAUGGAGCUGAAGUCAGUCGAAGAUACCAGCUGGCUGCAACUGUUUAUUAAAAACACAGCACUGUGCAAACACGAAAGUGGACGUAUACGGUGUGACGCCUGCCCGGUGCCGGAA